GGUCAUUGAAGUACUGGUUUCGUACGAUCACCAAAGUUAAGCAACGUCGAUCCUGGUUAGUACCUAGAUAGGUGACCGCUUGGAAAUACUGGCUGCUGUAA